AACGGAUCUUUUGAACUGCUUCUUUCCGCUUCUUCCAGUGAGAUCCGGCGCGGCAUAAAAGCGAAUCGGGGUGCCAUUUCUUUAAGAGCAUGCGCAAUCGGGGAAUCACCCACAAUAA
rnacentral:antisense_RNA from 1 species